rnacentral:rRNA from 1 species
AAUCAACGCUGGCGGCGCGCUUAACACAUGCAAGUCGAACGAGAAAGGGGAGCAAUCCCUGAGUAAAGUGGCGUACGGGUGAGUAACACGUGGAUUAUCUGCCCUUGAGUGGGGAAUAACGAUGGGAAACCCGUCGCUAAUACCGCAUAUUCCCGAGAGGGGAAAGCAGCAAUGCGCUCAAGGAGGAGUCCGCGGCCGAUUAGCUUGUUGGUAGGGUAAUGGCCUACCAAGGCUUCGAUCGGUAGCCGGCCUGAGAGGGCACACGGCCAC